rnacentral:siRNA from 1 species
ACGACCAAGAGAUGAUGUUGAGUC